UGAGUUCGAUCGCCGCUCGAGGCGCGACGCGCUGCAGCUCAACGUCGCGGUUUCCAGCCGAGGCUUCCUAGCUAAGCCUUGGCCGGAUCGAAUUGGCUGUACGGUCGUCACCCGCACCGCGGCCCGUUUGCGUCGGAGGAAUCGGGCCCUAGCCGGCCGCCGUAGCCACCUCUCUGUAGUGGGCGGGGUCAAGGCCGGGUGACCCCUGCCGGAGACGCCGCUGCAAGCGACAUGUUCAAGGUAAUUCAGAGGUCUGUGGGGCCGGCCAGCCUGAGCCUGCUCACCUUCAAAGUCUAUGCAUCAGCAAAAAAGGACUCAUCUCACAAAGCUUCUGUGAAGGUUAAUGAGCUUUCACUCUACUCUGUUCCUGAGGGUCAGUCUAAAUAUGUGGAAGAGCCAAGGACCCAACUUGAAGAAAGCAUCUCCCAUCUCCGACAUUAUUGCGAACCAUAUACAAGUUGGUGUCAGGAAAUGUACUCCCAAACUAAGCCCAAGAUGCAAAGUUUGGUUCAGUGGGGGUUAGACAGCUAUGAAUAUCUCCAAAAUGCACCUCCUGGAUUUUUUCCAAGACUUGGUGUUAUUGGUUUUUCUGGAGUUGUUGGACUCCUUUUGGCUAGAGGUUCAAAAAUAAAGAAGCUGGUGUAUCCACCUGUUUUCAUGGGAUUAGCUGCCUCUCUUUAUUAUCCACAACAAGCCAUUGUAUUUGUCCAGGUCAGUGGGGAGAAAUUAUAUGACUGGGGUUUACGUGGAUACAUAGUCGUAGAAGAUUUGUGGAAGGAGAACAUUCAAAAGUCGGAAAAUGUGAAGAAUUCACCCGGAAAUAAGUAGAAUACUCCAUGCUCUGCCCAUUUUAAUCAGUUAUAGGUAAACAUUGGAAACUCCAUAUGAUAAACCAGUAUUUCUACAGAAAAAUGGCAGAGAAGUCAGUACUGAAUGUACAUCAGCUGUCAGGCAGUCUCCAAAGGUCAAGUUGAGAAAAGUGGCUCUGGAGCAGAGAGACGAUGCUUCUAUUGCCAGCACAAGGAGCAAAACUUCUUGUACAGAUCUUCCGGUUCUUGACUGCCAGCGGGAGAUGCAUAAUGACGUAGUCUCUGUCCUCUGCCAGCGGAGGAAUGGCUUUUCCCGUUGGCUUGGCUUCCUCUGUCACCUCCAGAAAGUAGAGAAUCCACAGGUUUCCUCACUCUUGAUCUAGAGAAGAUGAAGGAAUGGCCCCCACCACAGUGUGCUCUGGAGAUCAUCAAUCAAAAGGUGUUUCAGAGUCUCCUAAUUGGAAGGUAUUACUUCCAUUUUUAAUACUUCAGUCGUGUUGAAACAUUGCCUUAAAAUCUCUUAACUCCUCCAAGGACGGUGGGUCUCACAGAGCUGGCACCCAGUAGUAUCUGGCCCAUAUUUAGGAUAACAAGUGAAUCACCCAGGGCAACUCAGUUGCUUUUAUACUAUGAUCUUUUCCUUUCAUGGCUGUUUGUAUCCAGUGCUGCCUUUUUUUGUAUUUAAUACUUUUUGCAUGCCUUCCAUGAACUUUGAACUGCAGGGAAUAUAAAUUUUGCAUAUUAUAGUAUCUUACAUUUCCCUAGCUGUUUAUACUUUUCUAAUGCUAUUUUCUAUCUUUCCUUUUUGGCUUAUUUCCUGACCUCAGUGCAUUUGUACUCUGUUUUUCUCUGUCCUGAGGUAGUACUCUCUACUUACAUUUACACUCUUUACUCUGUUUCUUAUGACCAUUUUUUUCUUAUAAUAAGACUGACUCUCAAUCCAAUUUAUCUCUAACUUAAUCAGGAUGGUUCUAUUUGAAUAACUUUAGGGCUUUGGAGACAACGUUCUCUACCAUACAGAGUGAUUUAAGCUUCUCUGAAGAGACAGAUGUGGCAUGUUUUAUUCUGUAAUAAUGUGUCCUAAGAAAGAUUGCUUUGUCAAAAAUCAAGAUUUAAAAGCAAUUGUUUCAGUGGGAAAGAAAGAGACUAGUGGCGCUAAAGAAUGCCUUCAUCAAUCUUAUCACCUAUGUCACGCCUUGGGACAGAGUCACAAUAAUAGUAGUAGAUAGAAGAAUCGAGGCCCGCUGAGGGACUACCCACCCAGGCAGUGGAGUAGCAGGUGCCUGGGCUGCUGGGUCAGCAGCUUUUGUGCUAAGUGCAGUGCUGGAUCCCAGCCCAGUAGAGGCCUGUGUGAUGCAAAGCACUUCCCUAAUGGAUCAAUGACAUUAUAUCUAAAUGGCUCAAAGAAAAUUCAAAAUAUAUGUAAAAUGCCUGUGUUCACAUACAGAGAUAGAAAAAUGCAACUAGCUUGUGGUUAAAUAGCAAAUCUGUGACAGUUAAAAUUAGGCCAAGUAAUGAGUAAUGAUGAUUUUCAUUAGUUUAAAGAUAAAAUUCAGAAUGCUUGAGCUCAGCAAAAAAAAGAGAUUAUGUUUUCCUCAUUGUCCUAUCUUGAUGAACACACUUGGCACAAUCUUUUGGAAAAGGCUGGGUAUUUAGAGGAACAUUUUCGUCUGUGACCAGCACUAUUCAUGAUUAUUUAUAGGAGCUGAGGAAUUUACCGUGAGUGUACGUUUUCACUUUUUAUUUAAUUCAUUGCACCCACCCAAGUUAAUGCAAAAACCACUGUCAGAGGGACCAGCAGUAUAUUUGUGGGACUACACCCUCAUCCGAGGCUUAAUUUUAAUUAAAAGUAAAUAUUUGCAAUAAUGGUUUUGUUCAGCACUGGUUGAAAGAAACUUGCUUGAGGUUUUGGUUUUCACCCUGUCUACCUCCUGUCUGAUGUUUUGUUUCCCUUCUGAGAGGUUCAGAUUCCAAGUCAAUAAUUAGCCAGCACAUAGUUCUAAAGGUACAAUUAGGUCAAACUCCAGAUAUAACCGAAGUUCAGGCUUAUUUAAGUUUAUGAAAUGAUAGCCAAGCACAUUUCUCAGUGGGAGAAAAGUUUGUUUUCAUAAACAAGCGUUUCACUAUUUCACAUUUUGUUCAGUGCUGAGUCACCUGUAUUUCAUAUUUAAGGGCCUUUAUCAUCUUAAUCAGCUCUAGAACUUAGUUGUUCAACUUUAGCUGUGACUCUUGAAGGCAAAAGAAAAGCAAAGGAAGUGACUCUUCUCCCUGCCCACCCUCCCACCUGUGACGUAGUCUUCAGACUCAGCAUUGGCAAAGUCACUCCGUAAAUUCUCUCUCCUCUCAGGUACACCCUGAAGGUACACACUGAAGACUCACUUCAGUGCUGGCCUGUUUUGGGAGUGUACAGGACAGGUGGAACAAAAAACAAAUGCAAAGAUGGAGGAAAAUCCAGGAUGCGAAGACUGCUCCCCACACUCAAAAGUGAAGUCAUUAGUGAGUCCUUUAAAUGCUUAUUUGACACAAUACUGGGAUUUUGUUAGUGACCCCAAAUUUGAGUGUGGUUGGAGGAAUGAUUUUUUUUAAUAAAUUUAUUUAUUUUAUUUUUGGCUGCACUGGGUAUUUGCUGCUUUCUCUAGUUGCGGU